AUCCUAAGCCCUUAUCGCGUCCAUCCAUAAAAAAAGCUAAUAGCAUCAGAACAUGCACCCUUCGAAACCAUCCCAUCAAAUCAUUUCCCACUGCAAAUAAUAAUAAUGACAAAAAUCAAGAUGGUAAUUUCAGUCGUCAUUAAUAGGAAAUAUUUAUAACUAACAAUGAAAAAUAUAUACCCUGACAGCAAUGCACAGAACGAACCACGCUGUAACGUGGCCGUAAGCUAAGCUGUAACCUGCAAGGCUGUAAUCUGUAACGGUACUACAUACGCUACUAUGCUAUAUACAUAUCUAUAAAACCAGUUUGAGAUACUAGCGCUUCAACAGAUGGUGCAUCAAUUAAUAAUUUUAAUAUAUAAUAUACUAUUUCUUAAUCACAUGUAACACAGAAUAAUUCUUGUUCAUUAUUAUUUUAAACAAUGUAUUGGAAUUAUUGGAAGUUUCAUGUAACUUUAUAAAAUGUGAAAUUAUGUGACAAUAUUUCAUAAUUAAACUGUAGAUAUUUACGAACACGGCUAAAGAAAUAGGCUUUAAAUGGAGAUUCGUUUUUAUUAUUAAAAAUUAUAAUGAGUACUCUACUUUGGAUAUCUUAUAUAUUUUUGUAUAUUGUGCGUACUCUUUGUACCUUUAAAUUUUCCGUAAGUGUACAAAAAUCUGCAAAAACUCUGAUUAUUACCUAUAUUUUUACCAGUUCUGUCUAGGAAAAUAUUAAAUAGGCAGAAACAUAUUAUCAAUAGCACUUUAUUAUGUACCUAACAUUUUAUUAAAAAAUAAAUGCUUAAAACCUUAUAAAAAUUAAAUGUGAAAUACAGUUAAAUAUAGUAAAAAUCUAUCGAAACAGGAUUUUAAAGAUAACAUUAAAUGUAGAUUAUAAUCUAUAUUAUAGUGAUUGUAAGUUUUAUUUUAAUGUUAUAUCUUAUUUUAUUAGACAUUUUAUCUAUUACGUGUUCUAUAUACAUGUGUAAUAUGUUUGUAUGAUUAGGAGAAUGAUAUACUUUUGCAUUAAUAUUUCAUACAUUUCUUGGAUUACAUUUCAUAGUUGCAGAAUACAUAGGUUGUUCAAUUGGUGCAAAAAUGUCAUCUAUAUAAUACCACAAUGUAAAUUUUGAUUUGCUAUCAUGAAAAUUUGUACAGAUUAAAAACAAAGAAGUUCCAAUAUAAAAGAAUAUCUGAAGAAUAAGAUUUAACGUUCAUUGUAUGAAGUGUCUCAAUAAUAUUGUUAAUUUUUCCUGCAAAA